rnacentral:rRNA from 1 species
AACGAACGCUGGCGGCGCGCCUAAUACAUGCAAGUCGAACGAGAAUGUGUAGCAAUACACAUGUACAGUGGCGAACGGGUGAGGACUACAUGGGUAACCUACCCUCGAGUGGGGAAUAACUAGCCGAAAGGUUAGCUAAUACCGCGUACGCUUCCCAGACUGCGGUUUGGGAAGGAAAGCGAUACCGUGGGUAUCGCGCUCUUGGAUGGGCUCAUGCCCUACUCAGCUUGUUGGUGAGGUAACGGCUCACCAAGGCUUCGACGGGUAGCUGAUCUGAGAGGAUGAUCAGCCACACUGGCACUGCGACACGGGCCAGACUCCUACGGGAGGCAGCAGUAAGGAAUAUUGCGCAAUGGGCGAAAGCCUGACGCAGCGACGCCGCGUGGGGGAUGAAGGUCUUCGGAUUGUAAACCCCUUUCGGGAGGGAAGAUGGGAUGGGGUAACCCAUUCGGACGGUACCUCCAGAAGCAGCCACGGCUAACUUCGUGCCAGCAGCCGCGGUAAUACGAAGGUGGCAAGCGUUGUUCGGAUUUACUGGGCGUACAGGGAGCGUAGGCAGUUGGAUAAGCCCUCCCGUGAAAUCUCCAGGCCUUACCCUGCA